rnacentral:rRNA from 1 species
AACGAACGCUGGCGGCAUGCCUAACACAUGCAAGUCGAACGAAGGCUUCGGCCUUAGUGGCGCACGGGUGCGUAACGCGUGGGAAUCUGCCCUUGGGUUCGGAAUAACGUCGGGAAACUGACGCUAAUACCGGAUGAUGACGUAAGUCCAAAGAUUUAUCGCCCAAGGAUGAGCCCGCGUCGGAUUAGCUAGUUGGUGAGGUAAAAGCUCACCAAGGCGACGAUCCGUAGCUGGUCUGAGAGGAUGAUCAGCCACACUGGGACUGAGACACGGCCCAGACUCCUACGGGAGGCAGCAGUGGGGAAUAUUGGACAAUGGGCGAAAGCCUGAUCCAGCAAUGCCGCGUGAGUGAUGAAGGCCUUAGGGUUGUAAAGCUCUUUUAACCGGGAUGAUAAUGACCGUACUGGGAGAAUAAGCUCCGGCUAACUCCGUG